AGCUUUUAAACAGUCUGCACUGGCCUUUUAUGAUUGUCUGCUGCUGGCAGCCCGACGGGGUGGGCCUGCCUUGUAGCAAUUUGUUUCUGUCCCCGGGCACGGCCCGGCCAGGCCAUGAAUAUAUCUGGGGGGACACGGCGACAAAGGGCCGGGCCGAGGGGGCUCCAUGGAGACCCUGGCACUGGAAUGGUGACAUAUGGUGAACAUUCCCAGCUUUUGAAGUUGGAUCAGGCUGAGGGUGCCCCUGGCCCUGGAUCCCACCCGGAUCCCACCCGGAUCCCACCUGGUGACUCAGGUGUCAGAGCAGCUGGGUUUGCAUUGCUGUCCCUCCCUGACCACAGCAGGAACCUCGUGACUGCAAAAGCUCAUUUCUGGUAAAGGCCCCACCUGCCAGCUCUGCUCAGUGACCCCACAAACCAAUGGGAUUUGCAUGUGGACACCUAAUCCUGGGCUGUUCUUCCUCCAAGUCUGAGGGAGAGCCCUGGGCUUGGAUCUCUGGUGAAGGAAUCUGAAAGGCAGACUCAUAAAAGUCACCAGAAAGAAGCUGCCACACCAGUGCUGUGCGGGAAAAACAAACUGGCCAAACUGGGCAAGAAAAUAAUCUUUUCAAAUCAGGACUUUCCCCAAAAAAAAAAACCUUCAUUCAGCAGGAAAAAUGAAAAAAAUCCCCUCAAUAAUUGAUGUACCAAACAUUGCAAUGCUCGCAAAAACGCGGAUUUUGUGCCUGGAGAGGAGAAUUUCUCCCAGAGGUGGCUGAGUGAGGAUGCUGGGGGUGCUAUCAAAGCUCGGCUCCUCCUCGCUGCCCUCCCCACCCCCGGGGCUGGUGUGAAGGGCCUGGGAUCGGCUGCAUUCCCCCUUUCAUCUCGGGGUGUGACUUUGUGUCCAGCUGCACCACCAGGGCCCGUUAGCCCCUUAUUUCCUGGCAGUUUGGUGGCUGCAGGCACAAAUUCCAGGGUUUCCUCCUGCCCCAAGAUGUUGUGGCACUUGGACAGGGAAUUCCUGCAGCCAGGACUGGGAGAGCAAAAAUUCCAGGGUCCCUCUUGUCUCAAAAUCCAGGGUUCCAUCUUGUCUUGUGGCUCUUGGAGAGGAAAUUCCUGCAGCCAGGACUGGGAAAACCUAAAAUCCAAGAGUCCUUCUUGCCUCAGGAGUGUCACAGAACUUGGAGAGGGAAUUUUUGUAAUGAGGGCUGGGAGAGCAAAAAUUCCAGGAUCUCUCUUGUCUCAAAGUGUUGCGGGACUCAGAGAGGGAAUUCCUGCAACCAGGGCUGGGAAUACAAAAAGUUCCAGGAUUUCCUCUCGCCUUGUGGCACACUGAGAGGGAAUUCCUGCAGCCAGGAAUGUGACAGACCCAUGCCAGAGGCUGCUCUCCAGGAGAUCUCUUCCAGCAUUUCCUUGGGAUACAGAAAUUCCAUCAUUUUCUCUGCCCUGACUCCUUCAGGUGCCUGAGGUGCAAGCAAACACCUUUGCAGCAGGGUCUUCAAAAUGAUGGAAUUAAACCAGUGAAAUCCCCUUGAUGUGGGAAGAAGGGCUUUAUUUUCAAUAAUAUUUUCAUUAAUACACCCCAGAGUUGUUCUCAGCUGGAGAUUUAAUGCCUGAGUUUGAAAUCUCCCGGCUUCUCCCGGGACAAACCAGCCUGGAAUUCUGAAAUUCUUUAUUUGGGAUAUUGCACCCAUUGGAAUUCUUUAUUUGGGAUAUUUAUCAGCGUGUUUUGACUUGGCUUGGGGUUUUUUAAAUUGGUUUUUGAACGAGACUUAACCUGGAUCCAUGGAGGGCAGGAAAACCCCCCAGGACAGCAAAAUUCCCUCUCCUUCCCUUGCCAUUUGCUUGGGAGGGAUUUUCCUGCCAAGUUUAUGGCCAGGCCUUGCAUUUGAAAGGAAAAUUGCUCUUCUUGAGCUGGUGAGAGAGCAGGAGAAGAAACAACACCAAGCAAAAGGGGAGGUGAAAACCUGGCUGGAGGCUUCCAGCUGCAAGAGGAGCCCGUGGCGUCCCGGAUUUUCCCAUCCCAGCCCGGAAUUCCGGCGGGUUUGGUUUUCUAAACAGGAUCUGGGCGAUGCAGGACAUCGCCAGGCCCGAGCAGGAUGGUUUCAUCAGCAGGGAGGAGAAAAGGAAGGUGCUGAGGAUAAUUGCUGUCUCCCAUAAAAACGUUUCCAGGCUCCGAGAGCAUUCCAUGUGUGUGCCACAGGAAAAAACAACUCCAGCCCUGUAAACACAGCCACUUCCUGCCCUGCUCCCAGCAACCAGCACCACUGACCCAAAUUUCCCCCCUUUCCUCCAGAAAUCCUCCUUGCUCUCACACAUUUCAGCCUGCUGGAAAUGUCUCUGCAGGGCUGGGCUGCUCCAGGACGUUCCCAGCCUGUCCUGCUGGGGAAUUUCAGUGGUUUUGGGGAAGCAGAGUCAAUGCUGGCCCACGCCUGGGGCUGACAGGAGCUGGCAGCAGAGCUCUGCAGCCUGGGAAUGUCACAGUGGGUGCUUUGGUGUCACGGGGGAAAAAGUGAGAAGGAAUCGCUGCUGAAAAUGGGAGAAAUCUGAUUUUUAAAAAAUAAAUUCUGCAGAGUGGCUGCAAAUUAAUUUCUGGGAGUUCUGUGCUUUUCUUUCCCUGGGAUGCAUUAAAUCUGCAAAGGUGGAGGGAAGGGAUUCUGCUAAAUAACCCCGGGGUCUGGCAGUGUGUGAGGGAAUUGUCACCUCUGUCACCUCUGUCACCUCUGCAGGGUCCCAGGUGUGAGCCCAGGGCUGGGCCAGCCUUGAGGACAGAGAAUUUUGGGGACAGCUCUGGGGUCGCUGUGGCCCAGCUGCAGGAGCAGGGACAGUGCCAGCCCUGGGGACACUGCUGUCCCAGCCACACAAGGAGCUCCUUCAGCCCAAAGCUGCUUCCAGGGAUUUCCCAGGAUGCAGAACUCCCCCAGGGCUGGCACACACGUGCCAGCGCCACAAUGUGCCACUGCUGGAGGGUUUGGGGUCAGCCCUGAGCUCUGGGAUGGGACAUUUGUGCAGGACAAUCCCUGCCCUGAGAAACCCAGCUGUGCUCCGGGGGCUCUGCCCGUGUUUGUAAGGAAUACAUCCGCUUAAAAUGUCAUUUCAAAUGUAAUUUCAAAUGUAAUUUAACAUGUAAUUUAACAUGCAAUUUAACAUGUAAUUUAACAUGUAAUUUAACAUGUAAUUUAACAUGUAAUUUGACAUGUAAUUUGACAUGUAAUUCCCCCCUUUUCUUACGAAGAGAUGGAGCCAGUGCUGAGUUCUGGGCACU